UACGUAGGGGGCAAGCGUUGUCCGGAAUCAUUGGGCGUAAAGAGCGUGUAGGCGGUCCGAUAAGUCGGCUGUGAAAGUCAAGGGCUCAACCCUUGAAUGCCGGCCGAUACUGUCGGGCUAGAGUCCGGAAGAGGCGAGUGGAAUUCCUGGUGUAGCGGUGAAAUGCGCAGAUAUCAGGAGGAACACCGGUGGCGAAGGCGGCUUCCUGGACACUAACUGACGCUGAGACGCGAAAGCGUGGGGAGCAAACAGG
rnacentral:rRNA from 1 species